GAUGAACGCUGGCGGCGUGCCUAAUACAUGCAAGUCGAGCGAACGGACGAGAAGCUUGCUUCUCUGAUGUUAGCGGCGGACGGGUGAGUAACACGUGGAUAACCUACCUAUAAGACUGGGAUAACUUCGGGAAACCGUAGCUAAUACCGGAUAAUAUUUUGAACCGCAUGGUUCAAAAGUGAAAGACGGUCUUGCUGUCACUUAUAGAUGGAUCCGCGCUGCAUUAGCUAGUUGGUAAGGUAACGGCUUACCAAGGCAACGAUGCAUAGCCGACCUGAGAGGGUGAUCGGUCACACUGGAACUGAGACACGGUCCAGACUCCUACGGGAGGCAGCAGUAGGGAAUCUUCCGCAAUGGGCGAAAGCCUGACGGAGCAACGCCGCGUGAGUGAUGAAGGUCUUCGGAUCGUAAAACUCUGUUAUUAGGGAAGAACAUAUGUGUAAGUAACUGUGCACAUCUUGACGGUACCUAAUCAGAAAGCCACGGCUAACUACGUG
rnacentral:rRNA from 1 species